GGGAUGCAGUGUACACCACAGUGUCAAGCCUCUGGCUAUCCUGCAAGGACUGCUGGCAGAGCCUACCAAGCGGAUGUAGAUCAUGUGACCAUCUUGAACCGUCAAGAUCUACAGCCACUUCCUGAUGAACAUUGUGGUGAACCUAGAGGAUCGAUUCCCAGACCUUCCACUCCUCUAGAAGUUUGAGGUCUUCAACACCCGGAAGUUCCCUCAGGACCCGGUAGGAGAGUAUGUCAGGGAUGGUUUGAUGCAAGCUAAGCAGGCCAAAGUUGAUUGAAAAGAUUAUGUUCAGACGUAUGGAAACUGUACAAGAUGGGUUCAUGGAGCAGGGAUACGGUGAUGAUGAC